UACAGAGGUCUCAAGCGUUGUUCGGAUUUACUGGGCGUAAAGCGCGCGUAGGCGGAUCGUUAAGUCGGGGUGAAAUCCUGGAGCUCAACUCCAGAACUGCCUUCGAUACUGGCGAUCUCGAGUCCGGAAGAGGUGAGUGGAACUCCUAGUGUAGAGGUGGAAUUCGUAGAUAUUAGGAAGAACACCAGUGGCGAAGGCGGCUCACUGGUCCGGUACUGACGCUGAUGUGCGAAAGCGUGGGGAGCAAACAGG
rnacentral:rRNA from 1 species